rnacentral:lncRNA from 1 species
UAAGAUAUGCAACAGAAAUGUGUUAAUAUUCUACCUGGUACUAACGAGUGAAGACGUGUGUUUUGUGUACUGUUAAAUUUAAUUAAAAAGCUUCCAAUAUGGAUCAAGUUGAUGGUGUACAAGGCAAAGGGAUACAAAAGCAUGCUUUACAACCGGCAGGCACAAUGAUAAGAGAGUAUUGUGCUAUAACGAAAUGUGACUCGCCGCCACCAACAUCACCUACACCUGCCGAUGACGAAACUUCGAAAGAUGAGAAAAAGACCGACUCGUCAUGAUAACUGAUAGAAAAUUAAAACUAACAAAAUUCUCGUAAGACCCCACAAGAUUCGAGAGUGUCGAAGAACCUAACAGUAUUAUUUAUUAAACCACCAACAUAAUAUAAUAGUUAUUUCUUAAAUAACAUAUUGUAUAAACUAUGUAUCUGUCACAUCUUUAAGGCCCAUUUUCAUCGACAACAUAAACGUUCGUAUUCUAACAUCAACUGUUAACUAUGCAUUUCCAUGUUCAAUUUUCAAUGUCUCAAAAACGAAUUUGGGC